AACAAACAAAAAUAAUCCUUAAAUUUGCCUUCAAAACAUGAAAUAAUUAACAUAAUUAAAUAAAAUUUCCACCUAAUAUAUAGUUUCAAUUUCAUAUAUAACAAACAGAUAAAUAUUUCUAUACAUUUGUUACAAGAAAUUACACCAAAAUCACCCCCAAUAAACAAAUAUGUUGCCUUAACAUCUUCUAAUGUUAGGCCAGCAAAACCCUAUAAACAACGAAAUUUUUAGUAUAAAAAAAUCCAAAAUAUAAAAUAGUACACUAAUAAUAAUGAUUCGAUCAUUUUGGAAGCUUUCUUUAUUGUGUUUCAGUUUUCUAUCUCGUUGUGUCUCUUGGAUGGACCAGAAGGAGGAAUAGGGACCCCUUUAGGUAGCUUUGUGAAAUACAAUCCACCAGGUAACAACUUUUCCUUCUGUAGAUAAUUCUUCAAUGCCAUUACUGUAACAUCAUCCCCCAUCAUGAUCCCGGGCCUAGUCGCCACGCAUGAAUUAACGAGAAGAAAACACGUAAACAAUAUACAGAUAAGUCGCCUCGUGCUCGACUCAGAAGAACAAGAAGAGGAAGCCAUGAGAGAGGUGUUUUCUCUGCAGGGUUUUUGGAGAUAAGUG
rnacentral:lncRNA from 1 species